UAGGCCUAACACAUGCAAGUCGAACGAGGUGGCAAUACCUAGUGGCGGACGGGUGAGGAAUACGUAGGGAUCUGCCCUUAAGUGGGGGAUAACCCGGGGAAACCCGGAUUAAUACCGCAUGAUCUCGCAAGAGCAAAGAGGGGGACCGCAAGGCCUCCCGCUUUUGGAGGAACCUACGUCGGAUUAGCUAGUUGGUGAGGUAACGGCUCACCAAGGCGACGAUCCGUAACUGGUCUGAGAGGAUGAUCAGUCACACCGGAACUGAGACACGGUCCGGACCCCUACGGGAGGCAGCAGUGGGGAAUAUUGGACAAUGGGCGAAAGCCUGAUCCAGCAAUACCGCGUGUGUGAAGAAGGCCUUCGGGUUGUAAAGCACUGUAAGUGGGAAGAAAAAGCUUCACCUAAUACGGGAGCCUG
rnacentral:rRNA from 1 species